rnacentral:rRNA from 1 species
AAUAGAUACCCAGGUAGUCCACGCCGUAAACGAUGAGUGCUAAGUGUUGGGGGUUUCCGCCCCUCAGUGCUGCAGCUAACGCAUUAAGCACUCCGCCUGGGGAGUACGGUCGCAAGACUGAAACUCAAAGGAAUUGACGGGGGCCCGCACAAGCGGUGGAGCAUGUGGUUUAAUUCGAAGCAACGCGAAGAACCUUACCAGGUCUUGACAUCCCGGUGACCACUAUGGAGACAUAGUUUCCCCUUCGGGGGCAAUGGUGACAGGUGGUGCAUGGUUGUCGUCAGCUCGUGUCAUGAGAUGUUGGGUUAAGUCCCGCAACGAGCGCAACCCUUAUUCUUAGUUGCCAUCAUUCAGUUGGGCACUCUAAGGAGACUGCCGGUGAUAAACCGGAGGAAGGUGGGGAUGACGUCAAAUCAUCAUGCCCCUUAUGACCUGGGCUACACACGUGCUACAAUGGACGGUACAAACGGUUGUCAACCCGCGAGGGGGAGCUAAUCCGAUAAAACCGUUCUCAGUUCGGAUUGUAGGCUGCAACUCGCCUA